AACGAAACUUUCUUACACCGAAUGCUUGCAUUCACCGUAAGAAGUUGAGUGGCGGACGGGUGAGUAACACGUGGGUAACCUGCCUAAAAGAAGGGGAUAACACUUGGAAACAGGUGCUAAUACCGUAUAUCUCUAAGGAUCGCAUGAUUCUUAGAUGAAAGAUGGUUCUGCUAUCGCUUUUAGAUGGACCCGCGGCGUAUUAACUAGUUGGUGGGGUAACGGCCUACCAAGGUGAUGAUACGUAGCCGAACUGAGAGGUUGAUCGGCCACAUUGGGACUGAGACACGGCCCAAACUCCUACGGGAGGCGGCAGUAGGGAAUCUUCCACAAUGGACGCAAGUCUGAUGGAGCAACGCCGCGUGAGUGAAGAAGGUCUUCGGAUCGUAAAACUCUGUUGUUAGAGAAGAACACGAGUGAGAGUAACUGUUCAUUCGAUGACGGUAUCUAACCAGCAAGUCACGGCUAACUACGUGCCAGCAGCCGCGGUAAUACGUAGGUGGCAAGCGUUGUCCGGAUUUAUUGGGCGUAAAGGGAACGCAGGCGGUCUUUUAAGUCUGAUGUGAAAGCCUUCGGCUUAACCGGAGUAGUGCAUUGGAAACUGGAAGACUUGAGUGCAGAAGAGGAGAGUGGAACUCCAUGUGUAGCGGUGAAAUGCGUAGAUAUAUGGAAGAACACCAGUGGCGAAAGCGGCUCUCUGGUCUGUAACUGACGC
rnacentral:rRNA from 1 species